AUUGAACGCUGGCGGCAGGCCUAACACAUGCAAGUCGAACGGUAACAGGAAGAGGCUUGCUUCUUUGCUGACGAGUGGCGGACGGGUGAGUAAUGUCUGGGAAACUGCCUGAUGGAGGGGGAUAACUACUGGAAACGGUAGCUAAUACCGCAUAACGUCGCAAGACCAAAGAGGGGGACCUUCGGGCCUCUUGCCAUCGGAUGUGCCCAGAUGGGAUUAGCUAGUAGGUGGGGUAACGGCUCACCUAGGCGACGAUCCCUAGCUGGUCUGAGAGGAUGACCAGCCACACUGGAACUGAGACACGGUCCAGACUCCUACGGGAGGCAGCAGUGGGGAAUAUUGCACAAUGGGCGCAAGCCUGAUGCAGCCAUGCCGCGUGUAUGAAGAAGGCCUUCGGGUUGUAAAGUACUUUCAGCGGGGAGGAAGGGAGUAAAGUUAAUACCUUUGCUCAUUGACGUUACCCGCAGAAGAAGCACCGGCUAACUCCGCG
rnacentral:rRNA from 1 species